GCGUUGUCCGGAUUCAUUGGGCGUAAAGCGCGUGUAGGCGGCCAGGUAGGUCGGUUGUGAAAACCGGGGGCUCAACCUUCAGAGGUCGAUCGAAACCACCUGGCUAGAGUCCGGAAGAGGAGAGUGGAAUUCCUGGUGUAGCGGUGAAAUGCGUAGAUAUCAGGAAGAACACCCGUGGCGAAAGCGGCUCACUGGAACGGUACUGACGCUGAGACGCGAAAGCGUGGGGAGCGAACAGG
rnacentral:rRNA from 1 species